UGCAUCAGCCGGGAAUCGAACCCUGGCCGCCCGCGUGGCAGGCGAGCAUUCUACCACUGAACCACCAAUGC